rnacentral:rRNA from 1 species
UGGUGGAGUGAUUUGUCUGGUUAAUUCCGAUAACGAACGAGACCUUAACCUGCUAAAUAGCCAGGCCGGCUUUUGCUGGUCGCAGGCUUCUUAGAGGGACUGUCAGCGUCUAGCUGACGGAAGUUUGAGGCAAUAACA